AAGACUAUAGACCUGCGGAGUACCUGCGGAAGGAUCAUUACCGAGUUUUCAACUCCCUAACCCUUCUGUGAACCUACCUAUCGUUGCUUCGGCGGACUCGCCCCAGCCCGGACGCGGACUGGACCAGCGGCCCGCCGGGGACCUCAAACUCUUGUAUUCCAGCAUCUUCUGAAUACGCCGCAAGGCAAAACAAAUGAAUCAAAACUUUCAACAACGGAUCUCUAGAUCGGAAGAGCACAC
rnacentral:misc_RNA from 1 species